rnacentral:rRNA from 1 species
CCCUUAGAUGUUCUGGGCCGCACGCGCGCUACACUGAUGCAUUCAACGAGUCUAAAACCUGCUCUGAUAGGGGUGGGUAAUCUUUUGAAUGUGCAUCGUGAUUGGGAUAGAUGAUUGCAAUUUUUCAUCUUCAACGAGGAAUGCCUAGUAAACGCAAAUCAUCAGCUUGCAUUGAUUACGUCCCUGCCCUUUGUACACACCGCCCGUCGCUCCUACCGAUUGAAUGAUCCGAUGAAUAUCAUGGAUUGAGGAUGCAAGCAGGUUCGCCUGUCUUCAUCUUCGAGAAGUGAAGUAAAUCUUAUCAUUUAGAGGAAGGAGAAGUCGUGACA